rnacentral:rRNA from 1 species
AUUGAACGCUGGCGGCAGGCCUAACACAUGCAAGUCGAGCGGAGCGGCGGACGGGGGCGGAAUGCCUAGGAAUCUGCCUGGUAGUGGGGGAUAACGACCGGAAACGGGACCUAUUACCGAAUACUAUCAGAUGCGCCUAGGUCGGAUUAGCUAGUUGGUGGGGUAAAGGCCUACCAAGGCGACGAUCCGUAGCUGGUCUGAGAGGAUGAUCAGUCACACUGGGACUGAGACACGGUCCAGACUCCUACGUGAGGCAGCAGUGGGGAAUAUUGGACAAUGGGCGAAAGCCUGAUCCAGCCAUGCCGCGUGUGUGAAGAAGGUCUUCGGAUUGUAAAGCACUUUAAGCAGGGAGGCGUUACCUACAGAAUAAGCACCGGCUAACUACGUGCCAGCAGCCGCGGUAAUUC